CCAAUAGCGUAUAUUAAAGUUGUUGCAGUUAAAAAGCUCGUAGUUGAAUUUCGGGACCAAUAUGUCGGUCGUGCUUCGGUACGUACUUGCAUUAUUGGUUUCUCCCUUCUGAAGAACCAUGAUGUCAUUAAUUUGGUGUCUUGGGGAAUCAGGACUGUUACUUUGAAAAAAUUAGAGUGUUUAAAGCAGGCUCACGCUUGAAUACAUUAGCAUGGAAUAAUGAAAUAGGACGUUUGAUUCUAUUUUGUUGGUUUCUAGGAUCGACGUAAUGAUUAAUAGGGAUAGUUGGGGGCAUUAGUAUUCAAUUGUCAGAGGUGAAAUUCUUGGAUUUAUUGAAGACUAACUACUGCGAAAGCAUUUGCCAAGGAUGUUUUCAUUAAUCAAGAACGAAAGUUAGGGCAUCGAAGACGAUCAGAUACCGUCGUAGUCUUAACCAUAAACUAUGCCGACUAGGGAUCGGAUGAUGUUAAUUUUUUAAUGACUCAUUCGGCGCCUUACG
rnacentral:rRNA from 1 species